AUUGAACGCUGGCGGCAUGCCUUACACAUGCAAGUCGAACGGCAGCACGGGAGCUUGCUCCUGGUGGCGAGUGGCGAACGGGUGAGUAAUGCAUCGGAACGUAUCCUGGAGUGGGGGAUAACGUAGCGAAAGUUACGCUAAUACCGCAUAUUCUGUGAGCAGGAAAGCGGGGGACCUUCGGGCCUCGCGCUCUUGGAGCGGCCGAUGUCGGAUUAGCUAGUUGGUGAGGUAAAGGCUCACCAAGGCGACGAUCCGUAGCAGGUCUGAGAGGAUGAUCUGCCACACUGGAACUGAGACACGGUCCAGACUCCUACGGGAGGCAGCAGUGGGGAAUUUUGGACAAUGGGGGCAACCCUGAUCCAGCCAUGCCGCGUGAGUGAAGAAGGCCUUCGGGUUGUGAAGCUCUUUCGCGAGGGAAGAGAUUGCACCGGAUAAUACCUGGUGUAGAUGACGGUACCUUGAUAAGAAGCACCGGCUAACUACGUGCCAGCCGCCGCAGUAAUAC
rnacentral:rRNA from 1 species